rnacentral:rRNA from 1 species
AACGUACGCUGGCGGCACGCCUAACACAUGCAAGUCGAACGAAGUAGCAAUACUUAGUGGCAGACGGGUGAGUAACAUGUAGGUAUCUACCCUUUGGCCUGGAAUAACACGAGGAAACUUGUGCUAAUACCGGAUAAGUCUUUACGGAGAAAGCUUUAUGCACCAUUGGAUGAGCCUGCACUUGAUUAGUUUGUUGGUGGGGUAAUGGCCUACCAAGACUGUGAUCAAUAGCUGAUUUGAGAGGAUGAUCAGCCACAUUGGGACUGAGACACGGCCCAAACUCCUACGGGAGGCAGCAGUGGGGAAUCUUGCACAAUGGAGGAAACUCUGAUGCAGCGAUGCCGCGUGAGUGAAGAAGGCCUUUGGGUUGUAAAGCUCUUUCGUCGGGGAAGAAAAUGACUGUACCCGAAUAAGAAGGUCCGGCUAACUUCGUGCCAGCAGCCGCGGUAAUACGAAGGGACCUAGCGUAGUUCGGAAUUACCGGGCUUAAAGAGUUCGUAGGUGGUUGAAAAAGUUGGUGGUGAAAUCCCAGAGCUUAACUCUGGAACUGCCAUCAAAACUUUUCAGCUAGAGUAUGAUAGAGGAAAGCAGAAUUUCUAGUGUAGAGGUGAAAUUCGUAGAUAUUAGAAAGAAUACCAAUUGCGAAGGCAGCUUUCUGGAUCAUUACUGACACUGAGGAACGAAAGCAUGGGUAGCGAAGAGGAUUAGAUACCCUCGUAGUCCAUGCCGUAAACGAUGUGUGUUAGACGUUGGAAAUUUAUUUUCAGUGUCGCAGGGAAACCGAUAAACACACCGCCUGGGGAGUACGACCGCAAGGUUA